rnacentral:rRNA from 1 species
CAGCCGCCACGGUAACACGUAGGGUGCGAGCGUUAAUCGGAAUUACUGGGCGUAAAGCGUGCGUAGGCGGUUUGUUAAGUCUGCUGUGAAAUCCCCGGGCUCAACCUGGGAAUGGCAGUGGAUACUGGCAAGCUAGAGUGUGUCAGAGGAUGGUGGAAUUCCCGGUGUAGCGGUGAAAUGCGUAGAGAUCGGGAGGAACAUCAGUGGCGAAGGCGGCCAUCUGGGACAACACUGGCGCUGAGGCACGAAAGCGUGGGGAGCAAACAGGAUUAGAUACCCGUGUAGUCCCUGUCUCUUAUAC